rnacentral:rRNA from 1 species
GACGAACGCUGGCGGCGUGCUUAACACAUGCAAGUCGAGCGGUAAGGCCCUUUCGGGGGUACACGAGCGGCGAACGGGUGAGUAACACGUGGGUGACCUGCCCUUAGCUCUGGGAUAAGCCUGGGAAACUGGGUCUAAUACCGGAUAUGACUCCAUGACGCAUGUUGUGGGGUGGAAAGCCUUGUGCGGCUAGGGAUGGGCCCGCGGCCUAUCAGCUUGCUGGUGGGGUGAUGGCCUACCAAGGCGACGACGGGUAGCCGGCCUGAGAGGGCGACCGGCCACACUGGGACUGAGACACGGCCCAGACUCCUACGGGAGGCAGCAGUGGGGAAUCUUGCGCAAUGGGCGAAAGCCUGACGCAGCGACGCCGCGUGAGGGAUGACGGCCUCGGUUGUAA